GGCGGGGGCUCCGGCCCGGAAUUGCGGGGGAAGGGGGGAUGAGCCGCUCUCCCUGACAAUGCUCCCACUUCAGUACAUUGGGCAGCCUCUCUAGUGCUCUUUGUCGCGUUGUUCAGUCCAGCUCUACCUUCUUGUGCAGGACCCCAUCCCUGCUAGAAGAAGCCUUAACUUUCUGCAUUUCGUAUGGAGGUGUGGUGGGUACACAGACCCUGAUUUCGGCUGUCGGCAGUACAUCCAUCACAGAAUCAAUUCGACUGGAAAAGAUCUCUGCGAUCAUUGAGUCCAGCCUGUGACUGAACCCUAACAACCAGACUGAGUGCCACAUCCAGUCUUUCCUUAAACACCUCCAGGGACAGUGAGUCCACCACUUCCUUGGGCAGCCCAUUCCAAUAUCUAAUUGCCUUUUCUGUGAAGGAAUUCCUCUUAAUGUCCAGCCUCAUAUUCCCCUGGCACAGCUUAAGGCUGUGUGCUCUCUGCAUGCUAGGUGCUGCCUUUCAGGUCCUGCCUGUUACAAAGAGCAGGGAGAGGUGUUUGCAUUCAUUGUCCUCAGUGUCCCUGCAUGGAAGAAGCAAGAUAUUCCCCCCGCCCUCCCCAGCUUUUCAGGUACUGUUGUUUAGCAAUUUCUAAUAAAGCUUUGCUUCAGAGUUGACUAAUAUUCAGCUGUGAUGGAUUUUGACCCCUCUUGAGGCUGUAUGGGGAGGAUUUGGUCUCCUAAAAUAGUGUUUGCCUGUUUCAGAGGAGGCACAGGGCUGAAAAAUUCAUGAGACCAGCGUGACUAGCUAAGGAUGCAGCUUCUAACUUCAGAAUGAGCUGAUAGGUUGACCUGAUAGAUGUGUGUGUGUGUGAGUUGAUGAGGUUUUUUGUCCUUACUUGACAUGGUAAAUAUUCAUGUUAAUGUAUUUCCAGCUUUGAAUGAGGAGACAGACUUCAUCAAAGUAUUUAGCUGCUUAAAUAUCCUGAUACAGAAAUGUUUAAAGUAUUUAAGCAGCCUUUGUGAGUGUCCAAAAUCUUUGUAUCCUGGAUAACACUUCUGUAGAACUUGAAGAUGAAAAACCAGUCUUUUUGUGUAUUAGUUCAUCUGUAUGUCAGCUGUCACCCUACCUGAGAAGAAGCAACAUUUUUAGUGAUUAAGAAGUCCUGUUCUGGCAAAUUAUGGACAUGCAGCAUAUCUGGUGGUAUAAGUGUUGCCAUAGAUGAUAAAACUAGAUACCAAACAUUCUUUCUGCUUUUUCUCUUUUGUUAGAAAUUGUUUAUCCUUGAAUAGAAAAAGAAGAAAACUUGACUGUUUGCCCAGAUUUGCAGCUGCUCUCUAAAGGGAGGAAAAGAUCAGCAGCGAAUUUGGAAGUUACCCUGCUGGCACCAUCUCUGAUGGUGCAGUGCAGUGGUUGAGUUAUGCCUUCAAUGAACUGGAAUCCCACUAUAGGAAUAAAGUUUAUUUUUACUCAGCCUAGAGCAGAAGCACAUAUUGGUAGUGACUCGCUGUGCGUUCCCACUAUGGAACUGUAAAUGGUGUUGAGGAGGAGUAGUGGGAGAUAAGAGCUGCUGAGGGAGGUAAUAUUGGUGAGGUGCUUGCUAGAGAUGGUUCCUGUCUCUGGGCCUGGGGCAGCUGAGGCCGUGGCGAGGGCUGUUCUGAAAGGACAGGCCAGUGCUGCCUGCUGCCAGCAAAUCUGUGGGCUGGAAAACCUGCGGCUGUGGGCACAGCCCGCUGCCAAGCAGGAUGUGCUUUGUGCAGGGAUAAGUUUGAAUGUUAUGAUGUGAAUAAGAACCCCCUGUUUUUCAUCACCGAUGAGAGCCAAGAAAUACAAGAUCAAAGAGGCAUCAAGAAAUGACAGGAGGUUGCCUGGCUGAGGUUAACACACUGGUGGGGCCUGGCAGUGAGAACACUUGCAUCUGCCUGUCUAGACUGAUGCUCUGGGUAAAGCCAGCAGGAUUGGAAUCCUUAAAACCCUGAUUUACCAAGGGCUGUAGAAAUGAGAUGAUAAGCUUUAUUUUAAAAGACUAAGAAAAGAUUCUGAGAAGUCUUGGUUCUUUCUUCCAGCAAUGUGGAGACUGUGUGUGUCUUCAUUCUAAAGUGGAGACAGGAAGGGUUAUAUGUGGACAGUUAAUCUUCUUGUAGGGUUAGUGGGGAAACACUGUAACCUCUGCUGGUGUUAUUAGUGUUGGAAAGCUUGUGAGUUUCAGAACUGAGGCUAACCAGUGUGCUGCCCUUCUUUUUGGGUGUCACAUCAGCCUUUACUGGAUGUCCAUGUGGACAGUAAUGCUGGCCUGAGGUGAAAUUUCUGUUAAUCUUCUCCUUGGUCAUGUAGUCUGUGAUCUAAAUGCUGCUGGGAAGGGGAGAGGAGAGUUCUGCUAUUCCUGCUUUCUCAUUGUUCAGUGGGUAUUUGAUUCUUACAUAUGUGUGCUCUGUUUUAACCUUUGUGGUUUUACAAUGCAUCAACUAUUAUAGGUUGUUACCAGAAUAUAAUGACCAAGCCAUGUUUUUCAAAUUUUUAAAGUUGCCUUGCACAUUUAGGAUGCGUAUUGCUCAGUUUACUCAAAUAUUCUUUCUGCUUUGAUGUUUAACUUAUGAUGAAUGAAGAGAGAGUUUGGUGACAAAAAGGUACCUCUGGUGGCUUUUUCUUCACCUCUGAGUAUGUGCAGGGAGUUUACUUCUCUAAGUGUUCUUACUGUGGCAGUUAAGGGCUUCUGACAUGGAGAAAAGAGCAAUCUGACCUUCUUCAGUGCAAACAAUGCUUUAAAAUGGCACCUGAUCAGGCCUUUAAAAAUUAUUUUCAUAUUUAAUAUUGUGGCCUCUACCAGAGCAUUGAAAAGGGUGUUCAGAAACUGAAUUUAACUUGGGAACAGGAGUUAUCUCAUCUGUUAAACAAGUCCUAAUGUUGGUAACCUGCCAUGGGGAGCAGAGAUAGAAUGACAUUAGCGUCUAUGCAGGGAAUGUUACCAUUAUAAAACAUGAUCUCAGUCAGCUACAGGAUGGGCUAAUGUCCCUGUGGAAGGCCAAGCAGAGGCACUUAUUCCAAAUUAACAUAGGACUCAAUUGAGCACUUGAAAUUUCUGCUGUGUUGCCAGAGGCCCAAACAGAGAUCUACAGGAGCUCUGCUGGGACAGUAGAGGCAACAUUCUUUGUAUAUAAUCUUCAUAGAAACAGAAAACAGGAAAACCCAUUCCGGUAUAGGCAGGCAACAUCAAAAUGUUGCACUCAAGCAAAUAGGUCUCUGUCAUUUAUCUGGGGACUUUAUAUAUGUUCUCACUUUCCAUCUGGGAAUUGAGCUGCAUUCCAGCCCAUGCUAUUGUUCUAAUCUGUUUGGAAGUUGCCUGUGCCAGGUUUACUGCAGCUGCCGUUCUGUUAAUGUGAGCAGUUGGUGCUUAUGAUAGCACAUGUUGGUCAAUCAGAGCUUCUGCACUGUUUCUGCCUCUCAUCAUUUGAGAAGGUCUUUAAUGCAACCUAAUGAGAUUAGGGUUCAUUUGUUCUUGGGUUCCCAGCUAAGUUUUAAAAGGGUAAAGAGCAUUUCAGGUCAUUGCUUAUUCCAAAGAAGGACUGCCAUUCCUAUCAAGCUGUGGUUCUCUGGCAAUAUGAAUUGGUUCACUAAACACCUCCGGUAGUCUCACCCUUGCGGUACAAUCCAGUACUUCAGCUCUUGCUUUACACCGAUUUUCAUACCACUAUGUUGCCACUGUAUGGUAUUUAUUUUCAUGUGUAUACACAUUUUUUAAAUCAAGUGAAAAAGAGGAUUGUGUCAAGGAAAAUAAUAUGAGCUGGCAAAAGUCUAUCCAACUAUGUGAGACUAACACAUGAUGCUUGUAUUUUCAUGUAAUUUUUUUUUUUUGUCUCCUGUAUAGGAAGUGUUAAUGAUAAUUUCUACAGUAUUAUCUUUGCUAAUACCUCCAUUCGCAUUCUUAUCCUGGAUAAAGAGAGGAAAAUUGAAGAGGGUAUGUCACCAAUGUGGUAGUGGAAGUAGUCUGAAGCAUAGCAAUCUAUGGGCACUUCUUUCUAAGUGUUUGAAAUCGGAGCUGAGUUGUUCAGAGCAUCCCUACUGAGGGGAAUAUCCACUUUGUACAAAAUGCAGAGGCUCUUGGGUAAGGCAGAUAAACUUAACUUGAUAGAUUUUUGCAUGCUUCCUGAUAAUAGCUUCAGCACUUGGCAAAUUCUAAUGAGGCUUUUUGCAGCUCUGCCAUGUGUCAGCACUUGUACACACAGCACAGCAUGGAUCCAAAUCCCAGAGUAACCAACAGGGUGAUGGCUUUAUCUUCCUCACCUCUGAAUAAGACUCUUAACCCAAAGAAACCUUCUUAAUCUGAAUACAAGGAUGUAAUUUUCGUGUGACUUUUUUUCAUUUUCAUGCCUAUUAAUAAAUCUGUGUUCUUAUAAAAUGUGAGUUAAAAUGGAGCACACUUUACUUUUGAGGUUAACAUGAAUUCCUCAAAACAUGUAGCUGUGAAUGUUUGCUUUGAUGGCUGAGAAACUACUGUUACUGGCUGAUGUUGAUUAAGCAUUAUUUGUAUUUAGAAAAGCACAAAUGAAGACUGAAACUAAUGUAAAGGUGGAGAAGGUCCAAAGUUACUGUAAAAUUCUUAUUUUUAUUCCCUUGGAUGUACAGAUAUUUUCAUCCUUUCACUUAAACAACUGGAUUGUCCCACUAGAAACAGUUAAGAUUUUAGGAAAAAGAACAUUUACUCUUUAUUUACUUUGUAUUUAAUAAACUUAACACAGCAAGGCAAGUAUAUCAUAAAUGCUUUAAGAUCCAAAAUUAUGAUUGGGCACAUUCAAAUAGUACUCAACCUGGAGUGGUUAUGAAUCUCAAAUAUUCUGAGUGAUUAUGUGUUUAUAAUUCCCUCGUAAUCUUUUCUCCUGUUUAGACACAGGAUGUGUUUUAAACAAGAAAAUCAGACAAUAUGAUUAUAGUUGAAAACAAAAUUAAUAUAGGGGACCAGCUGAACAUCUCUAAUUGGAAGAAAAGGAGAGCUUUUUAAAAAGUAUUUAAGAGGGUAUAUAAAGAGGGAUUUUUUUAAAGUAAAUAUGGAACUAGACUGUAUAAACUCUCUGAGACCUAAGUGCAAUUAAUAAAUGUACUUGUAAAAGCAGAAAGAGUGCAAAUCCUCU
rnacentral:lncRNA from 1 species